rnacentral:lncRNA from 1 species
CCACAUUGGCCAGGAUGAUCUCAAACUCCUGACCUAAGGUGAUCCGCCUGCCUCGGCCUCCCAAGGUGCUGAGAACACAGGUGUCAGCCACCACGCUGGGCUGGGCAUAGCAUUGUAACACAGACAAAGCACAAAAUACUUGGGCAAUAUCUUUUUACAUUUGGCUUGUCUAGACUGCAUCCUCCAUCCCCUCAUGCGCUGGUGUGGUGCGGUCCAGAAUAUCGCCCACCUAGACUGCAGAGUGGAUUUGGGUGGCAUCUUGGCUUUCUGCACAAGACUUGCCUGUUCCCCACCACAUCCCCCUGGUUCUCAGGGUCCAGGAUUCCAGGAGUCUGGGAUGUGGUCAGGCAGGGCAGGUGGCCCACCCAGUUCACUCCCACACUGGGGACCUGCAGAGCCGGCUGUCUGAGACAGGGUGUUUGGACCAACAUCUGGGUUUCUGGAUUUCCAUUUGAGCACAGCUGGACUACACAGCUCUCUCUGCCGAGAUAUAGAUAUUUCCCUGUCGACAAUGUUUCAAGCUGACAUGAAGACAUGGCCACCCACUGGAACGUGGUGUGUCUGCUGUGGCGCUCUUGUAAUUUGUGAGGCAGGCUCCUGAGGAAUGCAGUGAGUAAGUGGGAAAUGGCGGGAAGUUCUCCCAUUCCCCCCCACCCCUCCAAAAGUGCUGCUUGCGCAGGUUGGUGGACGGUCCUCUGAGCAGGAAGAAGACAAGGAGCACAUUCCUGUUAGCUACCACAGAGAGGGGGAGGGUACGCACUGGACAUUUCAAACCCCUGCAGAGAAGCAAGUCUUACUGUGCUGGGAGUACUUGUGGAGUGCGGGCUGUGUUGCCCUGGGCUUUAAUUAUUUCAGGAACAUUUAACCACUGGGCUGGCCGGCUGGAUCUUGAUAUGUGUUUCUCAGUUGGAAAGACUUUGGUCCAUAGGGAAAUGUCUUCUCAAUUCUUUUAAUUUCAUUAAGGUGGUUAUUUUUCUUCUUGUGGCCUCUGGAAUGUGACACAGAACUCAAGGGACAGGAAGGAGAUGAGUUGGAGGCUGGGUCAGGGGUCCCUGCCAGGGAUGCUGGUGACUCACGUGACGGUGUUGAUGUGUGGAGUCCGGUGCCUGGUUUGGGGAAUGUUCAUGGGAUAUGUUCCACAACACUGACGGAUCUAUCAGGUACUGGAGGUGAAUGGUCAAGUCUGAUCUCAGGGCUGACAGUGUCAGGCAAGGACAGGAAGUUGACAUUGGACUCAUUGGCUGAGGUUGCUGGGGACCCAGGGGGCAAUGUGUGCCAGGACAGAUGGGUCUGGGGCUAGGAAGGCAGGUUUGGGCUGGAGACUCGGUCUUGGGAGGCAUCCCAUUAGACAGUGGUUGAGGCUGUCAAAAUGACUGUGAUUGCCUGGGAUGAGAGUGGAGACAGACAGGAUGGGGGUUUUGCUCUAAGCCUGGGGAACCCACCUCCCAGGUUCAAGCAAUUCUCCUGCCUCAGCCUCCCAAGUAGCUGGGAAUGCAGGUGCGUGCCACCAUGCCCUACUAACUUUCGUAUUUUUAGUAGAGAUGAGGUUUGGCCAGGCUGGUCUCAAACUCCUGACCUCAAGUGAUCGGCCCACCUUGGCCUCCCAAAGUGCUGGGAUUACAGGCAUAAGCCACCAUACCAUGCCUGACCAUUUUUAAAUAUUAAUUUUUAUGAAAUAUUUUCAAACACAUUUUACUGUACAUUGGAAAAGUCAAUCAUGAUUUCAAAACUUUAUCAAAAUCCAAUCAGAAGUCAAUUAACCAUUUAAUUGUGGAUAGGUAAGGAGACUAUUUUGACCAAAUAUGUUAGAACAAUUACCACUUAUAGAAAUAAUCUAUGUUUUAAUGUUUUAGUUGAAUUAAACAAUCUUUUAUAUUCUGUCCAGACACAGUGGCUCACACCUGUAAUCCCAGCACUUUGGCAGGUCGAGGCUGGCGGAUCACCUAAGGUCAGGAGUUCGAGACCAGGCUGGCCAACAUGGCGAAACUGUCUCUACUAAAAAUACAGAAAUUAGCCAGGAGUGAUGGCACACACCUGUAAUCCCAGCUACUUGGAAAGCUGAGGCAGGAGAAUCGUUUGAAGCGGGGAAAGCGAGGUUGCAGUCAGCUGAGAUCACACCACUGCACUUCAGCCAGCCUGGGUGACAGAGCGACACUCUGUUUCAAAAAUAAACGAAUAAAUAAAAUGGAAUUCUGAAUUUUAUUUUUAAUAAUUAUUUUUGUAAAGAGAAUGUCUUGUUUUUUGGAGUUGUUGAAUUUAUUGAAUUGACAAAAAUUAUGUACAAG